GGGGAUUUAGCUCAGUGGCAGAGCGCCUUCCUGGCAAGCACGAAGUUGAGAGUUCAAUCCCCA
rnacentral:tRNA from 1 species